GGUCAAGUUACAAAGGGCUAACGGUGGAUACCUAGGCACAC
rnacentral:rRNA from 1 species